AUUGAACGCUGGCGGCAUGCUUUACACAUGCAAGUCGAACGGUAACAGGCCGCAAGGUGCUGACGAGUGGCGAACGGGUGAGUAAUGCAUCGGAACGUGCCCAGUCGUGGGGAUAACGCAGCGAAAGCUGCGCUAAUACCGCAUACGAUCUAUGGAUGAAAGCGGGGGACCGUAAGGCCUCGCGCGAUUGGAGCGGCCGAUGUCAGAUUAGGUAGUUGGUGGGGUAAAGGCUCACCAAGCCAACGAUCUGUAGCUGGUCUGAGAGGACGACCAGCCACACUGGGACUGAGACACGGCCCAGACUCCUACGGGAGGCAGCAGUGGGAAUUUUGGACAAUGGGCGCAAGCCUGAUCCAGCAAUGCCGCGUGCAGGAAGAAGGCCUUCGGUGUAACUAGCUUUGUACGG
rnacentral:rRNA from 1 species